AAGGCGACUGUCACAAAGUAGAAUUUGUUAACUUAUUAUUUUGUUAUCUUUUUCUUUCUUUUUAGUUUUAGCAAGUUUCAAUUCACAAGGAACUUCUAUCAUUAAGAUUUUUCGAUAGAAGAUAUCUAUUUUCUGCUUUCAUAGCUAAUUCAUUUUAAUGACAAUACACUGUGAAGAUGAUGGUUGAGAUGUGUAUAACACGAGGGAUCAGAUUUCGUUAUAAAACUUGAAUCUUUUAAGGAAGGAAAAUAUUUUUAAUAUUUGGUUACGAUAGCUGGUAUAUACUUUGUACUUUGUAUGUGUUUAAGUGGAAUCACGGUUCAUCGAAGACCAAUAUUUUCUUCUUUACCCAAAAAUGUAUAUUAAAUGUGUAGUAUAUCAAAGAAUUAUUUCUACUAUUUUUUAUAAUUAUUUAUGCUAUAUAUUAAUUAAAAUAUAUGAAAUAUGGUACUGAAAUAUAUGUAAUGAAAUAUUUAUACAUUAUCACGUAUUUUUGCAUAUUGCAAAAUCUCUAAAAAUAGGUUGAAACGAAUAGGAAGAAAAGGAAGAACCUUUGUUCAUUUUUUUUUUUAUAAAAAUAAUUCAUCUUACCUUUCAGUCAUAACAUUGAACGUUUAUCAAUAUGUUAGAAAAGUAUUCACUACGUCGAAACAUAUUAAUGGAAAGAGAAUUGCUGUAAAUUGAAAAACGCAAUUAUCAAUUUUGCAAGUCGAGUGAUUCUAGUAUCACCACUCAAUACACCUAAACUAUAAAAUCGCUGAAAAAAAUAACGUAAGCAAAGAAGCGAUUCAAAGAUAAUUACUUAAACUGAUCCAUUUAUAUCAAACUUAAUACUUUAUAUAAAGUAACAUUUAGUUUGAUACAGAUCACAUCAUAUUAUUCACUGCAUGACCUAUUCCGCAAAGCACUUUCAAAUUAAAAACGAACAUUAAUCAAUGUCGUAUAUAUAUCUGCAAUAAAUUACCCGUCACUAACAUUCCAUUAAACAUCAACCUCUCUCUGCCCAACCCACUUAACUGUUAGACAAAACAACACCUACAUCUCAUCAAAUAGAAUUCAACAACUAGAUCACCUAUAAAAUAGAUAAAAUAAAUUCACUGUAUCCAUUCUAAAUCAUCCGCCACUAAUAUAAAAUUCCAUUAGAUAUCAACCUCUCUCUGCCUAAUCUACUUCAGUAUAUUAAAUAGAACGAUAUCCGUAUCUUAUUAAAUAAGUUCAACCACCAUCAAAGUAAUAGAAUACAUUCACUGCAUCCAUUCUAAAUCAUUCACCAUUAAAAUUGCAUGACACAUCAAGCUCUCUCUGAUUAACUCAUUUACAAUUAAAAGAAGAUGACACGUACAGUGAUUCACGAGCAUGAGUUUGGAUCUUAUUAAAUUUACUUUACAAUAUAACCAACUGGCCGCACAGUAUUUGGAUUUAUAUUUACUAUUUUUUUAAACUCUUUUUAAACAGUUUCUAGGGGUUGAAUUUCGAAAAACGCCCGAACACAUGUUCGUUUAUUUCUAGUGGAAAGUUUGCAUGCUGAAUUUCACGUCUCUAACUUUAGUGGACACAGAGAUACGGUUAUCCUGUAAAAAAAUUUGACCCAUUUUUUUCCCCCUUUAGGAUCUGUA